CUGGAAAAGAGCAGAAGAACAGGAGAAUAAAUUUAGAAAUAUAUUAGGCUGUCUUGUACUAAAACGUGGCUUUCAUAGUGGUUGAGAAAACUUCAAAGUUAUGUGGGCAAUUUUUUUUCAUGUAAAUUAUUUUUACUAACUUGUAAGGGAAAUUGAACAUUUUCUAUUUGUAUUCGAUUUAUUACUUUUUUUUAAACAAGAUUUUAUUUAUUCA